UGGGAGCAAGUGGCACCUGUGCCUGGCUUCCUACAUCGCUGGCACUCCCACACAAGUAUUUGUCUUUGGCAUUUGCCAUUCGCCAGUUGGUAGCGAUGACUUUCCUUUGCAUUUUCUUUGUGCCGCUCCUCGGAUCUCCACCCCUUGCGUUUUCCCAGCUUUCCCAGUUUGCCCAAGAGCUUAGUGCUCCCAGCCGAGUGCAGUUCCUUCCCAGUUUGGCCUGUUUUUAUCGGGGCAAAGGUAUAGCGAUAUGGCGACGGUGCCAGACUCGCCCGGAUCACUGCCGGAUUAUAGUGACAAUUCAGAGCCAAUGCGAUAAGCGAUUAAGCCACCGAUCAGCCGGCGGAUGAGGAAGAAGCUUACCCUGCGCGGAUUACCCAAGGAUUCGUGAUAAGACAGUACAUUGGCCCCUUAAGCCAAGUCGGAAAUCGGGGAAUCGGUGGCUAAUUGCUCAGCCAUUGUCCAAACAAUGACGCAGUUGAAUCGAGGAAAACCCGUCGAGCACUUGAUUUAAUUAGCCCUAAUGACCGCCGACCGUCAUCACCCUUUACCAACGCAACUCAAAAGCAAUCGAGCAGCUAAGUCAUGGCGGUAAUUGCCUAGAACCAGAAUUUUAGCUCAGAUUGGACAGCAUUACCUGUCGCGUUCCCAGGCGAACGCUGCUACCUGGUCGCCCCGCCCCCUUUUUUGCCCUUUUUGGACCAACGCCCCCGCCCAUGGACCACUGUCAAUGUCUUUCCUUUCGGACUGCUACAAUUUUAAUGCGUGUCCGCUGCGUCAAACGGCAUAAUAAAGCAGAGGCGGCGGAUGAGGAUGCGGAUGAGGAUGAGGAUGCGUAUGGAGGAAGAGGAGGGGUCCACCGGCAGUGGCUAGAGAAUGGAAAACUAAAUGCAUGCAUGCGUGCGUCUUUUAUAUUGAAAUAAAAUAGCAUAAAAAUGGGCAACUAAUGAAUUUUCACAGCGAUUCCUGCGGGAAUCGACCUUCGGUCCACUUCACUUCUGUUCCGUUUCGAUAUUCCCCGCUUCCAUCCUCGUACACGGCGCAAAAAUAUGUAUAACAUUGUGAAAAAAAUACUCAUAAAUUACGCUCCUCACAUUACAGAACAACCUUACAUUGCAAAUGUAAUUUGACUUGAGCAAUGGUAGCUGGAAAUAAAAUUGGAAAUAUAUUUGAAGGCACUAUCAUUUGUUUACGGUGUACUCUGUGCUGCCACUCAAAGAAGCCACAAAUAUACAGAGAAAGAAAAUGCGGCGGAGAGUGGGCGCUGCAGAGGUGGUAUUCACGUUAAUCGCCAAAACCCGAACCCCAUUCAAGGAAACAAAAAGAGACAUAGUCCAACCCCACCCAGAAACCACCCACUAGGCAAACAAAAGGAAACUCAAACCGCAGCACUCGACCACCCACCGCCCACCACCCCCUGGCGAAGGCUAUUCAAGCAAAUGUUGUAUGAAUGUAAUUCAAUACUUUUUCAAUCUUGUUGCCGUUGCCGGUUACUUUUGCCACGAUG